AACAACAGUAAUUGCUCAUGCGAUUAUCUCUUUAAAAAUCCAACCUACUUCCACCAAGAAGUCUCUCCCUCUCUGGAGCUUUCGUUCAUGGGUUUCGAUUGUGGGUUUUUGUUGUUUGUGAGUUUUGGGUUAUUCUUUGCAUAGAAUGGGUUCCGAUUUUUUUUUUUUUUUUUGGGUUCCAAUUUCUUGAUUUUUUUCAUUUUCUUCGAUUUAGCGAAAUUUCUUGAUUUUUGAGUUGUUAGUUUUGAUUGCAAUGAUGGAUUGGGUGUCUUGAUUUUUGAGUUGUAAAUCUGGGUUUUGAUUUAGGUGGCUGAUUUUUGUUUGUUAACAAGAAGCCUUCUUUUCUGGGUUUCAGUUAUGGGUUUGUGAGGAUGAGAAUGAAUUUUAGGUGUGUGACUAAAGUGAUGUUUUGUAAGUUGGCUGAUUGGAGGUUGUAUACUACACAAAAAAUUAGAUGACCUUCCUACUCAAAUUGAAGUUGAACCUGCUCAAAUUGAAGAUGACCUUCAUGAAAUGUGAACCAAAAUGAGAACUUAGUCGAAGAUCAAUGGAACAUCUACAUUUGCAACAUAUUGAGUUGCUGUUUUGGAAGUGCCUUGUGCUGUAUUUUUUUCCUUUUUAUUCAUGUAAUUUUUCUGAUGUAAUGUUUUUAGCACUUUUUUAUGCUAUUGUAUCCGAUUGUGGAGAUACAUACUAGUUGGUAAUGCUAUUGUAUCCAAUUAUGGAGAUACUACUUUCUAUGCUA